UAAUACGUAGGGGGCAAGCGUUGUCCGGAAUUAUUGGGCGUAAAGCGCGCGCAGGCGGUUCGUUCAGUUGGGUGUUUAAGCCCGGGGCUCAACCCCGGUUCGCAUCCAAAACUGGCGAACUUGAGUGUAGGAGAGGAAAGUGGAAUUCCACGUGUAGCGGUGAAAUGCGUAGAGAUGUGGAGGAACACCAGUGGCGAAGGCGACUUUCUGGCCUAUAACUGACGCUGAGGCGCGAAAGCGUGGGGAGCAAACAGGAUUAGAUACCCUGGUAGUCCACGCCGUAAACGAUGCAUACUAGGUGUCGGGGAUUCGAUUUCUCGGUGCCGAAGUCAACACAGUAAGUAUGCCGCCUGGGGAGUACGCUCGCAAGAGUGAAACUCAAAUGAAUUGACGG
rnacentral:rRNA from 1 species